rnacentral:rRNA from 1 species
GCACAAGCGGUGGAGCAUGUGGUUUAAUUCGAAGCAACGCGAAGAACCUUACCAGCCCUUGACAUCCCGGUCGCGGUUUCCAGAGAUGGAUUCCUUCAGUUCGGCUGGACCGGUGACAGGUGCUGCAUAGCUGUCGUCAGCUCGUGUCGUGAGAUGUUGGGUUAAGUCCCGCAACGAGCGCAACCCUCGCCCUUAGUUGCCAUCAUUCAGUUGGGCACUCUAAGGGGACUGCCGGUGAUAAGCCGAGAGGAAGGUGGGGAUGACGUCAAGUCCUCAUGGCCCUUACGGGCUGGGCUACACACGUGCUACAAUGGUCGGUACAAAGGGUUGCCAAGCCGCGAGGUGGAGCUAAUCCCAUAAAACCGAUCGUAGUCCGGAUCGCAGUCUGCAACUCGACUGCGUGAAGUCGGAAUCGCUAGUAAUCGUGAAUCAGGAUGUCACGGUGAAUACGUUCCCGGGCCUU